GCAUCACUCACUGUCCAAGCAUAUCCGUUUCUGAGUGCAAAAGGAAGAACUUGAGCGGGCGGCAACUGGAGUGAAAAUUGCUUUGUAGUAUCUAAAAGCAGCAUGGAUCGAGGGCAGCUGAGCUGAUUCAGCUCCCCUCUCUCCCUGGCAGACUGCCUUUGAGUAUCAGCUCAAGUGCCAUCAUCUACUGUGAAGCUUCUUUGACUCACACAGAGUUGGAUGAUUUGAAGCACUAAAUGCACACCUCUGUCAUAAGUACAUCAUGUGAAAUGCCAGCCUGAAUGAAGCACAAGCUGGAAUCAAAGUUGCCGAGAGAUCUAUCAAUAACCUCAGAUACACAGAUGACACCACCCUUAUGGCAGGAAGUGAAGAGGAACUAAAGAGUCUUUUGAUAAAAGUGAAAAAGGAGAGUGAAA